CACAAGCAGCGGAGCGUGUGGUUAAUUCGAUGUUACACGAAGAACCUUACCAAGGCUUGACAUGUUGGUUGUAGGGAUCCGAAAGGUGACCGACCCUUCGGGGAGCCAUCACAGGUGCUGCAUGGCUGUCGUCAGCUCGUGUUGUGAGAUGUUCGGUUAAGUCCGCUAACGAGCGCAACCCUCGUCGUAUGUUAUAUGUGUCAUACGAGACUGCCGGUAAAAAGCCGGAGGAAGGUGAGGAUGAUGUCAAGUCAGCAUGACCUUUAUAUCCAGGGCUACACACACGCUACAAUGGUCUGUACAAUGGGUAGCCAAGCCGCGAGGCGGAGCCAAUCCUGAAAGCAGGCCUCAGUUCAGAUUGCAGUCUGCAACUCGACUGCAUGAAGCCGGAGUUGCUAGUAACCGCAGGUCAGCAAUACUGCGGUGAAUACGUUCCCGGGUCUU
rnacentral:rRNA from 1 species